GAAUAUGAUGAUAGAUAUUUUGUCGCCCCAGUCUUAUUUGCAUCUUUCUUUAGAUGCAAGGUGGUGAUUGACAUUCAUAACUGAUUC